ACACAUUUUAGAGCCACAUUCAAUUUAAUUAAUAAUUAAAAUUACAUUCAAAACCAAAUUUAAAGUUUUAAUAAUAAAACUUAUCCUCAAAUAAAUUUAUUGUAAUCCAUCUCUACUAAUAUAAGCUGCACCUUGAUCUGAUUUUUAAUAAAAUUAAAUAUUUUAAUUAUAUAUUUUUAAAAAUAAUUAACAACAACGAUAUACAAGCAAAAUACAAGUUUUGUUAAUCGUGGAUUAUCGAUUACAGGACAGAUUCCCCUGAUUGGAAUAAAAAACCGCCAAAUUUUUUGAUUUUAAAGUUCGUAACUAACAUUUUUCAGGUUAUAAUAACUCAACAUCUAAAAUAAUGGGGUAUCUAAUCCCAGUUUAUUUUUUAGAUUUCUUAGCCUCUUAACCAAAAUAAUUAAUUAAAUAAUAAAUAAGAUUCCACCCAAUAUUCAUUAAAAUAAAAAUAAAUUUUUAAUAACUAAAUAUAACCAAAAAAAAAUAAUAGUGUUAUUUGUUUAACCGCA
rnacentral:rRNA from 1 species